UGGAUAGCAAAUUAUCUUAACCAUGUUUACUAAGUAGUCCAUACCUUUGUCACUGAAUUAAACGUAUCAUCUUUUUCUUAUACAAAAUUCUAAUUCAUACGAAUUUGUAUCUGAAACUCCCUUUUCUGAUUUGAUUACUUUGUUUAUUCCUGGGCUAUCACGACACUUUUAAUCAGGUGAGAAAUCCUUUUGUGCCCACUUAACAACCCAGGAAAUCAAGGUCUCAAAGACUGUUCUCAGUUCAUUUUAUAAGGCCCUGAUACUGAAACCAAACAGAGUAAAAAAGAAACUAGUAAAGUUCAUGUCAAUUUCUCUUAUGAACUUCAAUGCAAAAAUCCUUAACAAAAUUGAAUCCAAGUGUGUAUAAGAAGAAUUCUAUAUCAUAACCAAGUGGGAUUUAUUCCAGGUGGGCAAGGCUGGCUCAACAUUUGAAAAUCAAUCAGUGAUAUCAAUUCACCAUAUCAUAGGAUCAUGUCAUUUCAUGCAGAAAAAGCAUAUGACAAAAUCUUACACACAUUUAUUAUAAAAACUCAAAGCAAGUUAGGAAUAGAUGAAAUUACCUCAAUUAGAUUUUUUAAAAAAUCUAUAAAAACCCUGCAGCUAAUAUAUUUAAAGGUGAAAGACUGAUUGCUUUUCUGCUAAGAUCAGGAAUAAGGCAAAUAUAUCUGCUCUCACCACUCAUCCAACAUGGUAUUGAAAGUUCUAGCCACUUUGUGGUAGCGGGCGCCUGUAGUCCCAGCUACUUGGGAGGCUGAGGCAGGAGAAUGGCGUGAACCUGGGAGGCGGAGCUUGCAGUGAGCCGAGAUCGCGCCACUGCACUCCAGCCUGAAAAAAAAAAAAAAAAAAAAGAAAUAAGACAAGAAAAAAAUAAUGAAAGACAUACAGAUUGGAAAGGAAGAAAUAAAACUGUCACUAUUUGCAGAUAACAUGAUUGUUUACUCAGAAAAUUCCUAGAAGUGAGAAGCAAAUUCAGCAUGGUUGAAGUAUACAAGAUCAACACGAAAACAGACCCACACAAAUAUGCCUGCUGGAAUUUUAAAAAAUAAAUCUGCAAAAGCAAUUCAAUGGAGGAAAAAGAACCUUUCCAACAAAUGAUGCUAUAACAAUUGGGUAUCCACAGGCAAAAACUGUACCUCAACCUAAACUUCACAUCUCAGAAACAAAUUAACUGAAAAUGGAUCACAGAUACAAUGUAAAAUGUAAAACUAAACUCACUUUUAAAAUUAAAGAAAAUCUUCCAGAUUUAGGGCUGGGCGAAAGUUCUUACACU
rnacentral:lncRNA from 1 species